rnacentral:misc_RNA from 1 species
UAUCCGUAGGUGAACCUGCGGAAGGAUCAUUAUUAUAUAACCGAGGUGCGAGGGCUGUCGCUGACCCGAAAGGUCGUGCACGCCCGAGUGCCCUCACACACAUCCAUCUUACCCCUAUGUGCACCACCGCGUGGGUCCCCCUUUGGCUUGUUCGGAGGGGGGCUUACGUUUUCACACAAACUUUGUAUGCAGUGUAGAAUGUAUUUUUUGUUUUUGCGAUCACGCAAUCAAUACAACUUUCAACAACGGAUCUCUUGGCUCUC